rnacentral:rRNA from 1 species
AUGGCCACAUCAUAUUGAAACACCAGUUCCAAUACAAUCACUGAAGUUAAGCAAUGUUGAGCCUGGUCAGUACCUAGAUGAGUGAUUGCUUGGGAAUAUCAGGUGCUGUAAG